ACAAAUAUAUAAAUGUAAUUAAUAGAAAUCCAGCUUUACAAACUCUAACAUUAGAAUUAUCUGUGAGUCUUUUUUUAUUGUCUGUUCUGUCUCUUUGGCAUGCCCAUUGAUUUUUUGAUUUCAUGUCAGCCAUCCUGAAUCUCCAGAUGGCUUGGCCUUCCUCUAGAGAAGGUUUAUCCUUUACUGGGAAGCCUGAGCAGAAACUAAGCAUCCUAAACAGGCAAGCACAACACUAGCUUGGGAUUGGGUUGCAGUUUGAAUAAAGUUCUGUUACUUUUGGUUUUCCUCUUUGCUGUGGAAUAGUACACUAGAGCUUUGUGUUGUGAAAGCCACAUCUUUAUGGAAACUCCUUUAGUUAAUCCCAUUUUAGCUUCUUAAAUAUCCUAGUUAGGGAUUCUGGUAAAUUCAGCUUUGCUGCGUUACAAGAAGGGGCGUAGGCGUCCAUUUUGAGGUCUAGAACAUUCCAAAGACACAACUGGUUUGACUAUUCCUUUGAGCAGGUAUCAGCUAUUGUGCAAAUCUACACAGAAUUGCCACCGACCCUCAGGGAAAGUGACCACAGGCCAUUGGGUCACCAUGCAGUUGAUGGCACCUUUCCAGAAUCUUGGCCCCUUAGUUGUCUUUGCCUCAACCCCUCUCUGAUACUUUGAAGCAAAUACUCUUUUGUAGUUUAACCAGCUUUUCUUGUCUUUCUUGGCAGAAGUGUGAGUCUACCAGAGACUAUUCUGCUUGGAAGAAGAAGUCAGUGAGUCUAAUUCGUGUUUUCAUGUCUGGAGGUUACAGACUAUUCAUCCCCAACUCCACUUGGUUUUUUUUUUAAUCACCUUUCUAAUGAUCUCAUUUCUUUUAUCCUUUCCACCCCCCAUGUAUUUUAAGGUAUGGGUUUCAUACCUGUUUUCUGCUCAUUUGGAUGUCCCAAGUACUCACACUCUGGUUUUGCUAUUACUCCUGCCCACAGUUCCUUCUAUAGGUUGCACUUUAUAGUGCCUCUAUAAUAUGAGCUGGAACCUGUAAAUAUCCUCUGUGCUUUGUUUCAAGAGCUGUGUUAACAGCAGACUCCUGCCCGGACACUUGGAAACGUGUGUGAGCCUUGGAUCACUUCUAAAGCUUGAUUUGAAAUUGAUGGGGUUACUCAGAUGAUACUAUUUUUUGUUGAAAAAAUUCCACAUGGGGGCUAAUUUUUUAUUGUAAAACUUGUAAGGAAAACUUUUUUGUCCCAUUUAUAGUUUGAAUUCUAGUUUUCUGUCCUUAGGCAUGUCCCAGCUUUGUCUCCUAUACCCUGAUACCACGAUAAACAAGCUCAACCUCACCCCAUCAACCCUUUGUGCUUCAAUGCUCAGGACCCUGCCUCUUAGACUAGGGGCCUUCAAUGACUCUGCUGGUGGUGGAUUUCAAUAAAAAAAAGAUUGUCAUUUUCUGUCUAAUACUUUUAGUUUCCUGUAGGAGGGACUAAGUAGAUCAUAAUGGGAAACCAUGGUCCAGCUCAAAUAUUUGAGAGAGAGAGUUAGAGAGAGGCAGAGAGAGGUAGAGAGAGGCAGAGAGAGGCAGAGAGAGAGGUAGAGAGAGGCAGAGAAAGAGAGGCAGAGAAAGAGAGGCAGAGAGAGAGGGAGAGAGAAUCAGAGAGAGGCAGAGAGAGAUAGAGGCAGAGAGAGGUAGAGAGAGACAGAGAGAGAUAGAGGCAGAGAGAGGUAGAGAGAGACAGAGAGAGAUAGAGCGAAGCAGAGAGAGGAGAGAGAGAGAGAGAGAGAGAGAGAGUUGUGCCACAAUGCUCUGAUUUAGUAUUACUUGUAUACAAGAGUAAAAGGAGCAAUAAUUAUCUAUCUUCCGAGAACAAUAACUGUAACUCUGGCUCUACCAAUAACUACAAACAAUUUUUCAUUAAAAGGAGAAAAUGAUUGAAUACUCCAAAUUAGCCCUGGCAAGAAAAAAUAACAGCUGUCUAAAACGAAGUGUUUGAGUUAUGAGCCAUGAGCCACUUUGGUUUAUCUGUAGCCAAAAGCUUCGAAAUCCUUAUUCAAUUAGCCACGUUGCUGGGGAGGGCCCGGUUGCCCGAACACGAGCUGCCUAGUAGUGACUAAGAGCUAUCUCUGACGCACAAGUUCAGACCUUGCAACUCUGUUUUUGUUGUUUGAACUUUCUUCUCUGUUGUAGCUAGGGAUCCGGCAUGGAAUUUAAACACUUGUGUGGUAACUCCGUCCCUUCAGCCAUUGUGUUGUUAAGCUCCAGCUAACGAACUUUAACACUGGCUCUAGUCAGGCAAGACUUAGGAACCAGCAGCCGUCAACAGUUCUAGUUUUACAACUAAAACUAUGCGGUUUAUCUGUCUUUACAGCAUCUAGAUGUUCUUGCCUGCCCAGUCCAGUCACUCCAUAAAAUGCCUUCGAAAAUACAUAUGAAAAUAGAUAGACCAAGAUACGCUAAAAAAAAAAAUAAUAAAAUAAAAACCAAACCUUAGGAAGCAAGUUUCAUUACAGAAGUUUAUCUGCUCUGGCAGAAGGUUCAAAAUGUGUGCCUGUGUUAAAAGUUAGGCACUCAGCUGAAAUGCAGAGAGCAAAAUUCCAUAGUGUUUGAAAGGUGAGAACUGUGAGGAACAGCCAGCACGCAUGCUGUCUCCUGUGCACUUUCCUUCCCCACCAAUGUCUUUAGUUGCUUAGGGAUCCUCUUGCCCAUGUCACAAAGAAUGUCUCAGAGCCCUGUGGAUUAUGCACACAUUGGAUUGCUAAGGACAAAUGCUGUGUUGAAAUCUCUGGGCUAUGUUUCACUUCCAAACAUAUUCUGAGUCUAAAAUCUAAGUGCCUGAAAAGGGGGAGACAGCUUCUUCUGUGAUUCAUAACUUAGUUCUAAAGGCAGUGCUGAGAAAUUCAAGUGUGCUUGGAACGUUUCCAUAGUAAUUCGAUAUCAAGGACAUCAGUGUUUCUGCUUUAAAGUUUUGCACUGUAGUUAAAUGUGUGUUGAUCACCAAUCAUCACUUAGGGCCUUGUUACAUCAUAGUUUGAUCGCUUUGCAAAAGUAAAAUGGUUUUGCAUCUUAAUCAUGGUCAUCUCCUAAAGAAUAGCUAGAUACUUUCGUUAGGUGACUAAAGGAAUGGAAAUAUAUAAUCUUGUUUGCCAAUAGGACUGUCAGGGAAAGCUUUUAAGGUCAGAGUUGCCUUUCAGUUAAAGCUCCAAGAAUAAUCACUUUAUUUCUACUUUUAUAAAAAACUGUACAAACAUAUCAUAUUAUAGGCUGUAAGUUUAAAUAUCACAAAUAUUAUUGUCUAAAUUUUAAGAAAACUGUCUGAGCCUGUUAUACUGGCUUUUCUCAUGAGGCAGCUGUCUAGGCCAACUCUAGAGGUUCUCUGCUGAACUGUUUUAUUUUCAUGUGUGUGGCAAGAAAACCAAUAAAAGUUGGAGUCUGUGCUCCCAGCACAUUCUCCCUUCCAGUGAGCUCCAAUCCUGAACUUUUAUUGUUUAAUUCAUUUACUUACCAUUUUAAUUACAACUACAUCUACCUUCAUUCAUUUAAGUCUAAUUCAUCCUUCAAAAACACUUAUUGCCACCCCCUACAUGAAGCAGUCCCUAAUUCCCUACCCACACAGCCAAGUAACUCUCUGUUCCCUGUACAUGGUGACACUGUCUGCAGCUCUCUAUUAGGGCGGUUGGUAAGCUUUCUCUCCUCUCCUUAUCCCUGCCCUGUCUCCCAUUAGAAUGCAAGUUUUUGGGGACCAGAGCUUCGCUCUUGUACAUUUCUUUGCGCAGGUAAAUACUUGGGUAUUCUUCUUCAAUGCUAAAACCUAUAUUUUCAAACUACAUUUGUUUUUGGUAACAUUUGUAUGAUGUGUCUUUAAAAAUAUUAAAAGAUUAAGACUAAAUGUUUUUGUCUAUAAUUGUGUUAAAAUAGAUUUAUCUCAUCAACUCGUCUAGCACUGGAACAGGGCAGACAUGGUGUCUGCCUGAAGCUUGUCAUUGUGUGACGCCAUCAGUUUCAAGUAAAAGGUUACUGAACAUUGUUACAGCCGAUGAUGCUAGUGUUUAAGGGAGAUGCUUAGCUGGUUCAUUGUAACUCAAGGUUUCCUAUGUAGUUGUUUAGAUGUGUCUCAACAAUCCUAAGUUUGAAGCUCUUCUCUGGUAAAGUGAAGUCGUGGUUUCCUUUUGCUGACUCUGAAGGUCAUACAAAGUUUCCACCCUACAGAGCAGUCCAGUUACAUACUCACUAAAGAAGGGCAAGACUAAAUAGCUUUCCAGAACCAAGGGAAUCCAAAUGGAUGAAUAAAAUCCAGAUUUCAGCCAGCGUGGUGUUCUCAGCUGCCUUCCAGUGCUGCUUCAUCUGCUCUCAAUUCCCAUAAAAUACCUGGAGUUUUAUGUAUGCGGUCUGGGUUCACACUUUCUUAGUCUUCCAGUUAUAUAUUAUUCUUUCAAACGCUGAGCUGUAUUUGCAGAUAAUGUGAGAGGAAAAAGCAAACUGUGCAUGAAUAUUGCUCCCCAAGCUAUGACUCCAAAAAAAUGAAUAUUUAAUUAUCAUUUCAUGCAUCUAUAUAGUCUCCACCAGUUGCUGUCGUAGGACAUAUUGAAGAUCCUCGGGUCUAAGGUGUGAGCCGUUCUGCAGAAGCAGGUCUGUUGUGUCAAGGCUUCCUGAAAUACUGAAGCACGGAGUAAUACUCCUGUGGCUAUGACAUCACCACACGGAAAAGCUUAAGCUACUUUAAAAGUGUUUUCUUCUCCUAAAUAUACCCUUAACUACAUCUAACUAAAGACACUUCUCAGUAUAGUGUGUGCUUGGAAACUGUUUCCAGUGUGUACCUUGCAAAGCUAACCUUCUUGAAUAUGAUUGACUGCCUGCUGAGUGAUCAUUUCAGGAGUGUUCUGUUUGCAAUUUUCUAGGAAAUGUUGCUUCUUUACUCAUCAAGGAAGAGCAAACCAGAAAUGCCAGCAUUGUUUACCGUGUGGAAAAUUAAAAUUAUCUUAAUGAAGAGUGUCCACAUGCUGGCACAUGGCCAGAUGAAUCAUAUUUGUCAAAGUUGCCAAAAGAAGCCACUUUUGUGUCCUUAAGGACAAAGUGUACGAGGACGAGGACGGCAAAGAAGAGAAGGUGAAUUCACAGCAUGAAAACAGGAGAGAGGUUACCCUAAAAUACCAUCAGUGGACGGCAUCAUCUGUUAUACCAAAAAUUCAACCUAGAGUCUGCUGUUCUACAGAGCAACUUCCUCUAGAGUCGAUUAUGGCAUGACCCUGUCGACGGCAGAUUUCUAAUCAAAGACUUCACUUCUACAUUGUUACCGCAGAAGUUACUGAGGAAGGCUUUAAUAAGAAGAUCACAUCAUAGUAAAAGAAGCCACUUCAAAGCUAAAUGUAAAGGUUCUAAUUGAUGUGAGAAAAUGAAAAUAAAGCUACCAGGAAGAAGAAAACAUCAAGUGUUUCACUGUCCUGUUCCAGUCUCUGCAUCUCAUUUUGUUAAUUCUCAGAAAGAAAACAUUAUCUGGGCUCACACCAAGUAACUGCAAGUAUCGUCUAAGUGAGAUAUAGUAAAGGAAGGCUGACGCAACAUUCAUUAUUCCCGAAUGGAAUUGGUUCUGCAUGUUUCACAUAGAAGAUGUGUGCAUGGAUUGACUGUAGAAGCUUAUUGCUGAGAUUUUUACUAGGGGUAUAUUAUGUUAACUUUAAAAUGUUUCUUUUUAAGGAGACAAUUUUUGCCAUCUAUUGGUAGGCUAAUGUUACAUUCUAAUCAAAACGGACUCUAAAUAACAUUUGUUAUCCAGAAGUUUUUCUUUCUUAAAAAUGUCUGAAAUUAAUUCCUUAGUAACCUGAUGGGGAAAAUGCUGUUCAAGUUUUUUAAAAUCUUACAUUUGCCUAAUGGGAUUGUUCAAUGUUAGCGUUGCCUGUACCUCUUCACAUCUUAUUUUAGUUAUUUGACACACCGAUCUGGUUCAUUAUUUUCAAAGACUACUGGUUGCUCUGUAGUAAAUUUCUACAGUUGUUCACUUGAGGUCUCGAAAUGACCUUCUUAAACACAGUAAGCACUUUGCAUGACAAUGUUGCAGUGCUUUAGUGUCUUCUGUUUAUAAAGGAAAGUCUUUAGAUGUGUUUUAAAUCAAGUUUCACAUGUGUGAGAUCUAAUGCUUGUAUUCAAGAAGAAAUAAGUCUGUAGAGUUUAUUCCAAUUUCCACUUAAUUCUCUCCUCCCAAACUCCUUUGGCCAAAGUUCUUGAAUAUUGGGACCCUCUUACCUAGGACCUAGCCUGCGUUCACCUGCCCCCUUGUGGUGUUUUUAUCCAAAAAGUUAAUUAAUUUCUGAAACUUGACAUGACACAGUCUGAGCCAAGAAACCUCAUUCUUUGGCAUUCAGAGGCAGCAGAGUUCUCUUCUAUUAGUCAGUCAGUGGCUAACAUAACAGGACAAAGGAAAUCAUUUAAGGUUUUUGUUUAACCCAGAGCCUAAGAAGGAAUUGGGCACAUGAGAAAUAAAUGCAUGGAAUAAUCUGGA